rnacentral:rRNA from 1 species
AUGAAGCUGGAAUCGCUAGUAAUCGCAGAUCAGAAUGCUGCGGUGAAUACGUUCCCGGGUCUUGUACACACCGCCCGUCACACCAUGGGAGUCGGAAAUGCCCGAAGCCGGUGACCCAACCAAAAGGAGGGAGCCGUCGAAGGCAGGUCUGAUAACUGGGGUGAAGUCGUAACAAGGUAAC